rnacentral:rRNA from 1 species
UACAGAGGGUGCGAGCGUUAAUCGGAAUUAUUGGGCGUAAAGCGCGCGCAGGCGGUCCUUUAAGUCUGAUGUGAAAGCCCACGGCUCAACCGUGGAGGGUCAUUGGAAACUGGAGGACUUGAGUACAGAAGAGGAAAGCGGAAUUCCACGUGUAGCGGUGAAAUGCGUAGAGAUGUGGAGGAACACCAGUGGCGAAGGCGGCUUUCUGGUCUGUAACUGACGCUGAGGCGCGAAAGCGUGGGGAGCAAACAGG